rnacentral:rRNA from 1 species
AGGAUUAGAUACCCGGGUAGUCCCAGCUGUAAACGAUGCAAACUCGGUGAUGCAUUGGCUUAUGGCCAAUGCAGUGCCGCAGGGAAGCCGUUAAGUUUGCCGCCUGGGAAGUACGGACGCAAGUCUGAAACUUAAAGGAAUUGGCGGGGGAGCGCCACAAGGGGUGAAGCCUGCGGUUCAAUUGGAGUCAACGCCAGGAAUCUUACCCGGGGAGACAGCAGAAUGAAGAUCAAGCUGAAGACUUUACCAGACAAGCUGAGAGGAGGUGCAUGGCCGUCGCCAGCUCGUGCCGUGAGGUGUCCUGUUAAGUCAGGUAACGAGCGAGAUCCCUGCCCUUAGUUGCUGCAGUUACUCUCAGGAGUAGCUGGGCUAACUAAGGGGACCGCCACUGCUGAAGUGGAGGAAGGAGGGGGCCACGGCAGGUCAGUAUGCCCCGAAAUCCUGGGGCUACACGCGGGCUGCAAUGAUAGAGACAACGGGUUCCGAACUCGAAAGAGGGAGGCAAUCCUUAAACUCUAUCUCAGUUAUGAUUGAGGGCUGCAACUCGCCCUCAUGAAUAUGGAAUCCCUAGUAACCGCGCGUCAUAACCGCGCAGUGAAUACGUCCCUGCUCCUUGCACACACCGCCCGUCGCUUCAUUGAAGUUGGGUUUGUGCGAGGUGACGCCUAAUUGACGUCAUCGAACACGAGUUUAGCAACAAGGGAGAAGUCGUAACAAG